rnacentral:rRNA from 1 species
GACGAACGCUGGCGGCGUGCUUAACACAUGCAAGUCGAACGGUAAGGCCCUCCGGGGUACACGAGUGGCGAACGGGUGAGUAACACGUGGGUGAUCUGCCCUGCACUUCGGGAUAAGCCUGGGAAACUGGGUCUAAUACCGGAUAGGACCACUGCCUGCAUGGGUGGUGGUGGAAAGCUUUUGCGGUGUGGGAUGGGCCCGCGGCCUAUCAGCUUGUUGGUGGGGUGAUGGCCUACCAAGGCGACGACGGGUAGCCGGCCUGAGAGGGUGACCGGCCACACUGGGACGGAGAUACGGCCCAGACUCCUACGGGAGGCAGCAGUGGGGAAUAUUGCACAAUGGGCGCAAGCCUGAUGCUGCGACGCCGCGUGAGGGAUGACGGCCUUCGGGUUGUAAACCUCUUUCAGCACCGACGAAGCGCAAGUGACGGUGGGUGCAGAAGAAGGACCGGCCAACUACGUGCCAGCCGCCGCCGUAACAC